UUAUAUUUAGUGUAAUAUUGCUUGGAUUUUUUUCUCUGAAAUCUGUAGAAUCAAGAGCAGGCUGUGUACAGGUUUAAGUAGACCUAUUAACCUCACUGAUGUCUUCAGAUAUGUAACCCACUGCAGAACAGUGCUGGGCAGUGCCGCUCGCGUCAGAAUCAUCAGGGCCGGUGACGUGCACUUCAAAUCCUGAGGAGCUUUGAAAACAUGAGUUCAGGUCCCUCCUCCAAACCAGUUUAGUCGGUCUCUGAUGGUGGGGCCCUGGCAUCUCCCAAAUGGUCCUGAGGUUCAUCAAGGCCAGAGAACCACUGACCAA